GUGCCUGCAGCCCGCCGGCCCCGCCCCCGCUGCCUGCUUCCGCCGCUUUAGUGCACGCUCGGGCUUCCUGGUGCGCCCGGAGCCUGCCUCGCGUGCCGACCCCGCCGCGUAAUCCGGCGAGGAAUCCCAGAUUCCGCCCGGCUCCAGACGCCCUCCACCGACUUUAGUUCGAGCAGGCUGUACAAGAAUCAUGGUGCCAGCAUCUGCUUCUGUUGAGGACUUCAGGUUGCUUCUACUCAUGGUGGAAGGCAAAGGGGAACUGCUGUAUGCAGAGAUCACAUGGCAAGAGAGCCCCCAUGAGGGACCUGCCCCCAUGAGGGACCUACCCCCAUGACCCAAACACCUCCCACCAGGCCUCACCUCCAACGCUGGGGCUCAAAUUUCAACAUGAGGUUUGGAGGGGUCAAAUAUUCAAACCACAGCAACGGGAGAAGACAUUUCCUCAUGAAGAAGCAAUACAAAUUGAAAUACAACCUAUAGAAUUUAUAUAGACAUUAUGCAAUCUGCAGAAGCACAUGUUGGGACUGAAAAAGGACUGCACUAAUGAAUUCUGUCACAGAUGUGUUU
rnacentral:lncRNA from 1 species